rnacentral:rRNA from 1 species
UACGUAGGCAGCGAGCGUUGUUCGGAAUUACUGGGCGUAAAGAGCGUGUAGGCGGCUUUCCCAGUCUGUUGUGAAAUCUCCCGGCUUAACUGGGAGGGUGCAGCGGAAACUAGAAUGCUAGAGGGUGGGAGAGGUAAGCGGAAUUCCUGGUGUAGCGGUGAAAUGCGUAGAUAUCAGGAGGAACACCUGUGGUGUAGACAGCUUACUGGACCGCUUCUGACGCUGAGACACGAAAGCGUGGGUAGCAAACAGG